CUGCUCCUACCAAAUUUGGCAAGUUGCCAACUAAAAUAUUACAAAAGAAAAGCUGAAAAAAUUCAGCUGUUACAUCCAUCAAUUUCAAACCUCAAAAUACUAGCUUUAGAUAUCAAGCAACUUGCCAACUUGUUAACAUCACAAAAAAUACAAAAUUUAAACAAAAGAAAGUAGCUUCUGGUUCAAUCUUCAAACAGACGUGCUGCUGCUGGAAG
rnacentral:lncRNA from 1 species